UCCGGUUGAUCCUGCCGGACCCGACUGCUAUUUGGGUGAGGAUAAGCCAUGCGAGUCGAAUGGGAUACCUAAAUUUCCCAUGGCAAACUGCUCAGUAACACAUGAUCAACUUACCCUACAGUGAAAAAUAACCUCGGGAAACUGAGGAUAAUGUUUCAUAGUUGAAAAGGCUUGGAAAAGUUUUUCAAUGAAAGGAUAAGAAAAAUGGUUUUUUUUCCGCUAUAGGAUAGGAUCGUGCUCGAUUAUGGUUGUUGGUGAGGUAAUGGCUCACCAAGCCGAUAAUCGAUAGGGGCCGUGAGAGCGGGUGCCCCGAGAUGGGUACUGAGACAACGACCCAGGCCUUACGAGGCGCAGCAGGCGCGAAACCUCCGCAAUACACGAAAGUGUGACGGGGUUACCCAAAGUGUUCAAUUUUGAACUGUGGUAGGUGAGUAAUGUCCCCUACUAGAAAGGAGAGGGCAAGGCUGGUGCCAGCCGCCGCGGUAAAACCAGCUCUUCAAGUGGUCGGGAUAAUUAUUGGGCUUAAAGUGUCCGUAGCCGGUUUAGCAAGUUCCUGGUAAAAUCGGGUAGCUUAACUAUCUGUAUGCUAGGAAUACUGUUAUACUAGAGGGCGGGAGAGGUCUGAGGUACUACAGGGGUAGGGGUGAAAUCUUAUAAUCCUUGUAGGACCACCAGUGGCGAAGGCGUCAGACUGGAACGUGCCUGACGGUGAGGGACGAAAGCCAGGGGAGCGAACCGGAUUAGAUACCCGGGUAGUCCUGGCCGUAAACGAUGCAUACUAGGUGAUGGCAUGGCCAUGAGCCGUGUCAGUGCCGUAGGGAAACCGUUAAGUGUGCCGCCUGGGAAGUACGGUCGCAAGGCUAAAACUUAAAGGAAUUGGCGGGGGAGCACCACAAGGGGUGAAGCCUGCGGUUCAAUUGGAUUCAACGCCGGG
rnacentral:rRNA from 1 species